GAUGAACGCUGGCGGCGUGCCUAAUACAUGCGAGUCGAGCGAACGGACGAGAAGCUUGCUUUUCUGAUGUUAGCGGCGGACGGGUGAGUAACACGUGGAUAACCUACCUAUAAGACUGGGAUAACUUCGGGAAACCGGAGCUAAUACCGGAUAAUAUUUUGAACCGCAUGGUUCAAAAGUGAAAGACGGUCUUGCUGUCACUUAUAGAUGGAUCCGCGCUGCAUUAGCUAGUUGGUAAGGUAACGGCUUACCAAGGCAACGAUGCAUAGCCGACCUGAGAGGGUGAUCGGCCACACUGGAACUGAGACACGGUCCAGACUCCUACGGGAGGCAGCAGUAGGGAAUCUUCCGCAAUGGGCGAAAGCCUGACGGAGCAACGCCGCGUGAGUGAUGAAGGUCUUCGGAUCGUAAAACUCUGUUAUUAGGGAAGAACAUAUGUGUAAGUAACUGUGCACAUCUUGACGGUACCUAAUCAGGAAGCCACGGCUAACUACGUG
rnacentral:rRNA from 1 species